rnacentral:lncRNA from 1 species
GCAUGUGUGUCAGUGUCCUCUGAGUAUACGCACUGCGUGGCCGUGCUGGAGUCGGCGGAAGCCAGAAGAGGGUGUCGGAUCCUUUGGAGUUAGUUACAGGAGUCAGUGAGCUGGGAUCAGAGGUCGGGUCUCAGUGGUUGAGCAGCAAGCUCUCCUUACAGAGCCAUCUCUGCAGACCUGGUUCCUUCAUUGUGACCUUCCUGAAUGAUAUUAACUCCCCGAUCACACGUUGUACGUCACACCAUGAAUAUAGGCUGCCUCUCACAGAUGAUGUACUGCAAACCCUGGUAACAUCAGUUCCAUCUCUCGACUGGCGACCUGCCGUGCGGCAGCUUCAUCGCCUCCCCCCAUUUCGUGGGGGGAAAAAAUAGACUCCAAGUGUCACUGUCACCACUCCACGGCAGGGGCUCUUGCGGCACAGAGACCCU